GAAAUGAUUAGCCAGUUAAUAUACUGUAAAGUGGAGUUUUUUUCUAAGGAAUAUUUAACAGGAAGGCUUCUAGUCUCGGUUCCGUGAAAAUGGUUAUAGUUUCAGUCCAAAGGAAGUGGGUAAAAUUUUUGCAAGAACCUUACUUAUUUGCGAAGUCCAAAGUUUGUUUGGAAAUGAAGAACUGAGUAAAAUUUCAAAGAGAAAAUGCACAAGAAGUCUAUUAAUUUGAUGUGUCACUUAGAUCUACGAACUCCGAAAAUGCACUUUUUAUCCAUAAACUUGUUAAUACCCAUCCACAUGUGCAUCUAGCGCUAACAUGGUACGAUGACUAGGCAUCUUCUCUCUCAUGCAUCUCGUCUUCC
rnacentral:lncRNA from 1 species